GGUUUUUUGGAAUUAAUAAAAAAUCUAACCUGCUCGAUGAUUUUAAAUGGCCGCGGUAUUUUGACCGUGCGAAGGUAGCAUAAUAAGUAGUCUAUUAAAUGUGGUCUGGAAUGAAAGGUUGAACGGAGAAUAACUUUUUUUGUAUUAAAUGUGAAGUUGAAUUAUUAGUAAAAAUGCUAAUAUUUUUAAGAGGGACGAGAAGACCCUAUAGAGCUUAAUAUAUUUAGGAAGUGGUGGAAAUUCUGAAAUAUAUUUUGUUGGGGCGACAAUUAGUAUAAACAUAAAAUAUAAAAUCUUUAUAUUAGGUAUAUAGAUCCAUUAUUAAUGAUUAUAGAUUAAGUUACCUUAGGGAUAACAGCGUAAUUUUAUUAUAGAGUUCUUAUCGAUGAUAAAGUUUGCGACCUCGAUGUUGGAUUAGAAUUCCUUUAAAGCGCAGGAGUUUUAUAAGGUAGUCUGUUCGACUAUUAAAAUUCUACAUGAUCU
rnacentral:rRNA from 1 species